UGGGGUUGCGGGCAGAUGCAGCUGACAAAGGUGGGGUGAAGAGGUUAGCCAGGCAGUGUGGUGCAGAGGAGGUCAGAGAGGGAGUGUGGUGCAGAGGUUAGAGAGGCACUGUGUGUGUGUAGAGGUUAGAGAAACAGUGUGGUGUAGAGGUUAGAGAGGGAGUGUGGUGCACAGGUUAAGAGGUAGUGUGUGUAGAGGUUAGAGAAACAGUGUGG